CCUCCCAAACGCCAGAAUCCCCUGCCCGCGCCGACCCAACCAAUCCCGCACCCACGCACCCGCACAUGCACAGCAGCAGGGCAUCGACGACGAGGACGACGACGACGCGGCGCAACGGAGGGGUGUAGGUCAGCAAAGGGCACAGGCCACUGCUCACGCCGCUGCUGCGCUUGGUGCUCAACAGGAGUAGCUCGUGCUAUGUCCGCACCGCCGGAGAGGACGCCAAGAUGAGCAUGGAGGUGCAUGGGUUGCACAUUCGGAUGAAGACUCAAUAGGUGGAGCAGCAAGAGGUGCCCCUCCGUAGGGCAGAUUUGUGGCCACACAUCUAUCACCAGCUGGUCCAUAUAGAGGAGGAGAUAAGGUACAUAUCAAGACACCUUUCUCCGUGACUUCCAUUGUUGAUGGUCAUGAUUCUGUUUAGUUACAGGGCGUGGGGUGCUCUUCUUGGAAGACAGUUAGCGGAGCGUGGAAUUAUAGUCGCUUGCAUUGAUUAUAGAAAUUUGCCCCAAGGAACAAUAAGUGACAUGGUCAGUGAUGCUUUUGAGGCAUUUUCAUUCAUUUGUGAUACUAUUGCUAGCUAUGGAGGAGAUCCUAAUCAUCAGCUGUUCUUUUUAUCUUGAAGGAACUAUGCGCCGCACUUGAAUAUUUGAUCCUUUUGGGUGGUGAUUCUAUCCAAAGUCGUUGUUGUGACGUCGGUGAGUAACCUCGGGCACCACACUGGGUGCUACCGCCUCCCCACCACUCAUGACGCCAGGCUGUUCUACUUCUUCGAAUUCAGGCGGCACAAGGAGGACCCAGUGGUGAUCUGGCUGACGGGAAGACCCGGCUACUGCAGCGAGCUAGCCCUCUUCUACGAGAAUGGCCCCUUCCACAUAGCAGACAACAUGUCGCUACUCUGGAAUGAGUUUGGUUGGGAUCAUGUAUAUUAUAUAUACCGACAGUUUGCGUACUAAUCAAUCAAUCUGUAUAAUAUUUUCUUAGAGAUUGUUUAGACCCUGUAUAAUCUUCUCUGUGUUUGGAAUUGGAUAUUGGCUACUGCAGGAGUCGAAUCUUAUCUAUGUUGAUCAGCAAACUGGGACUGGGUUCAGCUACAUGUCUGAU